ensembl:lncRNA
AGACAAUCCGUCUUUUAUCUCACUGACGGUGUUUUUAAAACUGAUUCAUUUACAUGUUGUCCUCAGGGCUUAUGGACUGCUAGAGGGAUUCUGACAACAUUUUUCAGGACUUAAUUCCGUAUAUUUGCUCUCCAUUAACACACAGUUUAUAUUAGUGAACCAGGACUGAAGCAGCUGCUUAUUGAGAAGAAAGUGAGCUGAAGAAUCUUUGCCGCCUCUAAAAAAGGAUCAGUUUGAAGAAUCUCAUGACAAGUUACAGCAACAGAGGAUUUUUCAACCAUGCCUACCAUGACAGCGAGACUCUGGAGAUGGAUAGAAGGUAUUCAAGUAAAAGCCACCACACUAACCCCUAUGCCAGCCAAGACCCGGCCUCGUGGGGUGAGUUUCCUGAUCGGACCCCCAGUGAUGGUGCUGUAGGGAGGGCACCAUGGCAGGGGGAGAGCUGGAGGCAGACAGGAGAAAACACCCCCAUGGGCCCCAUCACCACACGGCAGCAUAACCUGAGUUAGUGGACCCAGUCUAGAUUUGUUUUAAAAAUUAUUCAGUCUUUCUUUGCUCAUAUACUAAUGCAUUGUAUGGAAGAAAAACAUCAAUCACUGCCAGACAAUGCAUGUUUUGUACGCGUCUCUAUGUGUUGCUAAGGGACACUUCUGUUGACACGUCCUCUCACUUUUUAAAAACACCUUUCAGAUCGCAGUACAUUUCACACGGACUCACAAAAUGAUCCAUCUCCACCUUUUCAACUUCCUUCUGCAAUGUCAGGUAAUGGUUUAACCAACUUUUCUCUGUAGACAGUAGCUUCCUUAUACAUUUGCAUUUCUUUUUCUUCCUAAGCUCUUACACUGGAGACAUGGUAGUGCUAAAUACACAUGAAGCUGUAAAGACAUUUUAAAAAAUAAGUAUUCAGAUCAUGUUGACCUGUUGACUUUAAUUACCAGCCAGCUUAUAAAUUCACAACAAAUAAUUAUUAAUGGAGGCUGUCGACAACAGAACAAUACACGACAAGGAGGACAAGGAAGGUUAAUGAAAAUUAAACAGAGGGCAGGGGAUUGUUGGAGUAGUGUGACCUCCAUCUGACAUAAACUACAGUAUUGUAUGCCAG